AAGACUAUAGACCUGCGGAGUACCUGCGGAGGGAUCAUUACCGAGUUUACAACUCCCAAACCCCAUGUGAACAUACCUGUUUCGUUCCCUCGGCGGUGUCCGGCAACGGCCCGCCAGAGGACCCAACAAACUCUUUUGAAUUUUUCAGUAUCUUCUGAGUGAAAAAAACAAUAAAUCAAAACUUUUAACAAUGGAUCUCU
rnacentral:misc_RNA from 1 species